AGAAACAUAUAAUCAGUUUCUCCUGAAUAACGAAUGUAAAAACUUUUGGCAAGACAUUAUAAAAUUAUAGGAAACUAAUGUAACCACAAGGACAAGCCACAACAGCAAACACAUGGCGUACAGGACUGAAGCUCUGAUAUAACAAGCAUCAAGUCAAAUGAUGCUUGGCAAGUACAUUUAUGACCAAAACACUAAUAUAUGACAUCACCACUUAGCAAGUGAAUUUAAGUUUGGUAUCACCACUUGAUGACCCAAACACUUUCACCCUCUUGCUUCUUCUUCCAUUCUCAGGGGACCCUCUCUCUCUAUACAAGCACAUUAUAUUUUUCACUAUACACACAAUUUGCCUACAGUAAUUAGUACAGUAACGUACAGCACAGGUUUGUGGCCUAGGUGCAGUAAGCCUGAACUCAAAUUUCGGUAUGUAGUAGGCUAUGUUAUGAAAGCCAACUGAGGGAAGGGAGACUUCCAGGUCCUGUUUUUGUCAUUCAGGGCAAAAAAUUGUGUGCAGAACACCACUCCCAGGAACACUUUAAUUUUCAUAUCAUCCACAGUGGGAAACCAAAGUUGAUUGGUCAGUCAUUUUCAGAAAUAUAUAAUAAUGGAAAGCAUUGCAACUUCUUCAAAAUAAAAUCUAGACCAGGGGUCAACAACCCGUAAUACUACAGGAGCCACUUUUCAUAAAAAGUUCUUCCUAGGCAUUCUGAGAAUAUUUAUAAUCAUUGCUAAGUUACUUUUAACUAGUUUUAAGUGAGUUAUCUCUGGUUAGACCCAAAUGAAAUUCUUUAGACACUCUGACUCUGGUGACAGGAAUUCCACACCCUCAGGAAGCCCCAUCAUUUUGGUGCUUUUUCCUUUUGUGGUCAAAUAUGGGAUCAUAUGAGGCGUAUAGUGUAAAAGGGGUUACCAAACCAAAUCGGAUGGUAUUGAGUUUUUGGCAGCUUCUGAUAGCUGAAUUCUUACCGCAUCAUGUGGUGAGGCAAGCUAAGGAGAAGGCGACCUAAGAGAGGAUGAUUCAUAAGCCUAAAGCUGCAUGAUUUUUCUGUCAAACUCGCCCAGCGUGAGGUGUGUAGUGUGUGGCAGUCUCUUUAAAAGAGGCAAGCGGCUUAGCCAAUGUGGUGAUUGAUCCCUACUCCCAUGGCUGUGCCAUAAACCAUAGAGGGAAACUGACCUUUUUUUUUAUUAAGCCUAUGGAAUGAGUUUUUUUACACUUAGGGUUAUUUUUCUUUUACAUAAUCAAAUAUCGCUUGAUGAAAGUUAUCUUUAAGUGAUUAAAAACAUCAAAACCAACCCAUAAAUAAUCAAAUACAAAAGGAAAGUGUCCCAAAACCUAGAAUUUCUGAACACUUAGUUCCAAUAAUUGAUGUUUUCACCUUGAAAGGAAGGCUAAUUCUUGCUAUCAUUGUAAUUUUCUUUAUGUAGUCGAAUGGCUUUUAUUUCAAGCUUUUCAUUAACACAUAAACGACUCAAAUCCACCAAUAAAUAGCAGAGUUGCAAACAAUUUUGAAAACGUUUCUUUAUCCCUUUCUUUGCGCGUGGGACGGGACGCGACUAUCCCCUCAGGCGCAGUCAGGCAGCCCAAUGGGGGGUCUCUUUUAACCUCUGUAACUCAAAAUCAAUUCAUCACAACUAAAAACCAAAAACAUCAUUGGAAAGAGGAGGCCCAGAUACAUAGGAGUCGGUUAUGUAUGCCUCUCCUGCGAACGUACAUGCAUGUUCAGGAAGUGAUGAAUGUGAACACUUGCAUCAGUGCGUGCAGGAUGAUCAGCCAUAUUGAGGGAACUGCGGACAUCUUUCCUUGAGAUUCUGGCAAGGUUGUAUUGCCAACUGCAAUAUUUACAACUAUUUGGUCAAAGAAUCAGUCAGGUGAUAGGUGAGUGAAGCUAUGCAAAAAUGCCGCUAUAUUGGACAUGAACAUCCACCAGUUACUCGUCCAUAGAUUUGCCGCGCUGGGCUAAUAUGCUUUUCCACCAAAUUUAGUGAAGAACUCAUUCAAUUGGCAAUCCUGUGUUGUGAAAAAUAGUGUUGGAACACUCCCAUAUGUGGGAGAUUUGAGUGCGGCUGGAGCUCGCAGCAAGCGUUUAACACCACCAGCAAAUACGCCUAAUGCUCGCUGCGAGCCUUUAGCAAUGAAAGGGUUAAAUACGAUUUUCCCAAAACUAUAAAAAUGGCAGGUUGCCCCUUUUACACUAUACGCCUCAUAUGCUAUCUGGCAACUGUCCUUAGUCUCCAUAAAAACAAACAACAAAUCAUUAUCUGCCAGUCUUUCCAAUGGAAGAACAAAUACACUCGACCCUUGAUUUUCCAGACAAAAUUCUUGGUCUGGCAAUUGUCGGACAUAUACCCGGUCAAGUCUGGGAAGCAAAAUAGAUUCCAGGUAAAAACUCUGUGGUUUAUCAAAGUCUAGUGGUUGCUGGAUGUAUGCCCAGCCAACAAAAGGUCUGGCCAUGCAACACACUCCUUCCCACCAUCACUGUCUGGUCAAUACUCGCUACCAUAUGUCUUGAACCAGAAAAAUCAGUCUAUGCAUCCUUACUCAUGAGACUUUCUACAUAACAAAGUGAAGGCUUUUUGUUAAUUUAUGCGAUAGGUUUCUCGAUAUCAUCUGCUUGAAAAUUCUGUAAACCUAACUUAACCUAACAAAACCCCGAAGAGUUACCAUACGUCUCGACUCAGGAAACUCAUCAAUUCUUCCUUACUAAAUGACUCUCUAUAUAGCAUGAGUUCCUUUAUUAAUUUAUGCCAUAAAGCGUCCAACCGCUCAGGACAUUAAACGAAAUGAUGAUGAAAAUUUGUCACCUAUCAUGUGACUGAAAAUUCUCUAUACUUAACCUAACCUAGCAAACUCUGAAGUUACUAUACAUCUUUACUCAGAAAAAUCAUAUAUGCUUCCUAAAUAACGAGACUUAUUAUCAAACAAUGGGAGGUCUUUCUUGGUUAAUUUAUGCAAUAAGUUUCUGGCUAUCAUGUGUUUGAAGUUGCCUUAACUCUUUCAUUGCUAAUCCCUCGCAGCGAGACUAUCCCCCCAGGCACACUUGGGCAGCCCAGCUGAGGGAGGGGGGGGGUCUCUUUUAACUGCUGUAUCUCAAAAACUAUUCAUCACAGCUAAAAACAAAAACACCAUUGGAAAGAGGAGGCCAAGAUCUAUAAGAUUCGGUCAUGUAAGCCUCUCCUGCAAACGUGCAGGCACGUUCAGGGGUUGUUGCCUAUGAACGCGACUGGCGCUCGCACACCACCACGCUAGUGCUCACUCUUUUGACCUCUGCAUCUCAAAAACUACUAAUCACAACUAAAAAACAAAAACACCAUUGGAAAGAGGAGGCCAAGAUCUAUAAGAUUCAGUUAUGUAAGCCUCUCCUGUGAAUGUACAGGCAUGUUGCCUGUGAAGACGUACAUUUAUGCAUGCGCGACGGCCAGCCAUAUUGAGGUAACUACUGAGUCUUGAUGGGGUGCUGGCAGGGUAGUAUUGCCAACUGCAAAAUUUACAACUAUUUGAUCAAAAAAUCAGUCAGGUGACAGGUGAAGCUAUGCAAAAAUGCUGCUAUAUUGGUCAACAACAUCCACCAGUUACUCAUCCGUAGAUUUUCCACUCUAAGCUGAUAUGAUUUUCCACCAAAUAUAGUGGAAAACCCACUGAAUUGGAAAUGCUGUGGGGUGAGAAAUAUUGGAACACUCUCAUACGUGGGAAAUUUGAGUGCGACUGGUGCUCGCAGCAAGGAUUUAGCACCACCGGCAAAUUACGCUAGUUCUUGCUGCGCGGAUUUAGCAUCGAAAGGGUUAAACUUAACCUAACCUGUAUAGUAAUAUAGUACAGGUUCACAAGUUCAUUUUACGGUUGCAUAACUUUAGAACAGUGCUAUACCCAGUUACGUCAAGAAGGUAUUUUUCACUGAAAAGUAUUCAAGGAUACUUUCAAGAAGUAUUUGUAUUUGUAUUUAAAUUAAAACCAUUUCUGUGUAUUCAUAUUCAUAUUCGUUGGAAUUUGAAGUUUUUGUAUACCGGUACAUAUUAGAAUACACAACUCUGGUAUUCACUCCAUCCCUGCCACCAAGCCCCACAAAAUAGCAUACCAACUCCAUGGGAGGAAAAAAUAACUAAAUAAAAUAUGUAGUGAUAUAAUUGCAUGUUUGGUUACCCUACAAAGUUACCAGGGUAGUUCAUCAUGCUUUAAAUGCAAAUAAUAGACUAUGAAUGACAAAAAUUUAAGAAUGUAAUACAAAAUUAUUCAGACAUACUAUGAAAGAAGUUUUGUUUUCUCUAGUGGCAAAUAUCCUUUCCAUUGAGACAGCAUUUUACUGUGUGCUUGACAUAAUUAAUACAAUCUUUCAUAUUACAAAAUUACAUUCAUCAGUAUGCUCUGGUUCUCAACUACUGGCUGACUUGAGAUGUCUUUUUCCUUAAGUA